CUGUCAGGGGAAUGAUGUAUAAUUACCGUGCCCUAAAAAUGUUGGCCUUUCUUGAUUCGGCAUCUGAGAUGGACAUUAAGG
rfam:Spinacia oleracea cultivar SynViroflay scaffold14720.con0003.1, whole genome shotgun sequence.